UUUAACUCAUAUUCUUUUGAACUCAUGCGAACUCUUGAAGCACUUAUGACUGAAUGGAUAGUAGUUUGUGUUGUUUGUGAAUCUGUUGUUAUAACUAAAAGAACUUCAAAACCUUAAAUGCUCUCUUCACUUUGGCUAUGACCACAUGCACAUGAAGCAAGUGUCCCUUAUGCUAGAGGUAUUUGAUGAUUUUUAAGAAUUUGUGUUUCAAUUUCUACUCUCUUUUUUUUAGUGACAGUACCAUAUUGCUACCUCUACACAUUUGGUAAAGUUAAAUCUUCUUCCAACCUUCAGUUGAAAUGGUUUAUAGUUCAAUAUUUUCGUUGUGUAUGCUUAUUGCCAGAACAUCAAAGGUAAGAGCAGACUUCUUUGGUGAACCAAAAAAGUGGUGUCUGUUUUGCACUAGGUACUGAGUUAAACUAUACAAUCUAAGAUCAACGUACACAAGGAGUUCAUUGCUGCUUUUCAGAAUAAUCUGUUUUGGUUUAAGCUUGUUGGUAUUUGUGUUGAUUAACAUGGAAAAUUUAUUGGUCUGGCUCUAGACGAGAAUUGGAAGAAUGAAUUCCGCUAACAUCAUGUCUUGAAACACAUUCUUAGAUUAUGCCCUAGAUUUUUUGGGUUAUGCAGACCCCUACAGAUUUGACUUAUCUUUGUUUUUUGGGUUAUGCAGACCCCUACAGAUUAUGCCCUAAAAUUUUUUAUUUUUAAACUUGCCAUUCUAGUUGCUGUACCUAGAACUGGAAGUGGGAAGUAGAAGAAGAAUCAGAAUUGAAGUUAGGUGCUAUGUGGAUCCUGGUAUAGCUAGGGUUUUGCAUACAUUAUGCUGAUGGAGGCCAGGCAAAAUAUACUUUGAGUUCGGCAUUGGCACUAUUUAAGCAUACCAACUCAAUGCUAUGUAUCAUGACCUUGGCAACUGUCCACAAGCAGUUUGCUUAUGUAAGUGUCUGGUCUAAGAUCAUUUUCACAUGUAGCAAAGAACUACAUCAUGGAGCUUUCAUUUGGAGGAGAGCUCAGGAGAAUGAGGUGGAUAAAGCAAUCCUCGUGAUACCCAAGGUAUGAAAUCGGCUUUAUGAAAUGGGCAGCAAUUAUUUUUGAAGAUAGUGAACUUGUGGGCGAAUUUGAUCUUACCUAAAAUGUCCUCAGUUGCCUCAAAUUCGUCUUGGCAGAGGAGGAGGUCAAAGGGAUCAACUAAAGGGUAGCAGAGGAAUGGAGGAGGAGCAAUCACAGACAUGGAAGGGAAGAAAGGUGAAAGAGGGUGAGAGUGAACCGUCAUAGGCUGACAUUUUUGUGAUGACUCAUACAAGCAAGAAACAAGAUUAUCAUAAUGCAGAAACGAGUAAAAUACUUUUGCUGUACCUAGAACUGGAAGUGGGAAGUAGAAGAAGAAUCAGAAUUGAAGUUAGGUGCUAUGUGGAUCCUGGUAUAGCUAGGGUUUUGCAUACAUUAUGCUGAUGGAGGCCAGGCAAAAUAUACUUUGAGUUCGGCAUUGGCACUAUUUAAGCAUACCAACUCAAUGCUAUGUAUCAUGACCUUGGCAACUGUCCACAAGCAGUUUGCUUAUGUAAGUGUCUGGUCUAAGAUCAUUUUCACAUGUAGCAAAGAACUACAUCAUGGAGCUUUCAUUUGGAGGAGAGCUCAGGAGAAUGAGGUGGAUAAAGCAAUCCUCGUGAUACCCAAGGUAUGAAAUCGGCUUUAUGAAAUGGGCAGCAAUUAUUUUUGAAGAUAGUGAACUUGUGGGCGAAUUUGAUCUUACCUAAAAUGUCCUCAGUUGCCUCAAAUUCGUCUUGGCAGAGGAGGAGGUCAAAGGGAUCAACUAAAGGGUAGCAGAGGAAUGGAGGAGGAGCAAUCACAGACAUGGAAGGGAAGAAAGGUAGCUUCCUUUUUCUUUUCCUACCACCACUCUCCUCUUUCCUAUCUUCUCCAUUGUCGAACUAUUACCUCACUUCGUCAUUCCCCGAUUUCCUCCAACAUGCAUAGCAUCAUCUAGUUGUAAAGAUGCUUCUUGUUGCUGUCAUAGUAUUUUAGAAGAGGAAAAUAAUAAUUUUUUUUUCUGGAGUUGCCAUCACCAUAUUCAUAUGACACUACCUCUACCUGUUGAAAUAACCUUGAAGAGGAGGCUCACUUAUAAUGCUUAUUAUCUAUACAUUGUCCUCUUAUAACUAAAUAACUAAAUGCAUAGAAUGAACAAUAUUUUGGUAAAUGUAAUCUCAUCAUUGAAGAGCC